GGCAGGUAUGAAAAUAACAUUGAUCUUCUUGGACAUCUCCAUCAGAGCUCUUGGAUGACCAGAAGCAUUGUUAAUAAGUAGUAAUAUUUUGAAAUGAAUCUUUUUUACUGAGCAGUAUGUCUCAAUAGUGGGCUUAAAAUAUUCAGGAAACCAUGCUGUAAACAGAUGUACUUUAAUCCAUGUUUUAUUGUUCCAUUUAUAGUGUCCACACAGAGGUUGAAUUAACAUAAUUCAUAAGGGACAUAGGAUUUUUGUAAAUUAGGCAAAUAAGCAUUCAAUUUAAAGUCACCAGCAUGUGAACACUUAUAGGCUAUUGUAUGAUCAUUAAUUGGACUAAUUUCAAUAUUGUUUUGUCUUAGGGAAUAUCCCAGGUACAUAUCAUUAAACCAGCACUGAUAGUUCCUAGGUACAUAACAUUAAAAAGUCCAUGUGCAUAUUUUUGCCUGGCUGUUCCUUAUAAAUAUUUUUAACAAGAAUCUGACCCACUUUUAGUGCCUGCUAAUUGUGAAAUUAUUAAAUUAUAUGUUUGAUAUCACUUAUCAAAUAAAGGCAUUGAAACAAUGUAAAUUCAUCUUAUCUUUGUGUUGAUGGUUAGCUAGAACUGCAUCAUUCUUUCUUCCCCCCCCAAAAUGAAUUUGUCAUGUGUGCGGAGAAGCAAUAUGAUAUUGCAUACUACAUGAAAAACAAUUGUCUGUGUAAUAGGAGAUUGGACUCUUGCCAUUUCUUUUUUACUGUCAUUUGUGAGUCACUUAACCUUUAGGCUUCUCAAUUUAUCUAUAUUUAAAAUAAAGGUGCUGUGAUAAAUGACUUCUAAGAUGUGUAUCAAUUCUGAAGUUCUGGACAACCAUAUGGAAAGAUCAUAGUAAACAGAUUUUCUAAUUAAGAUAAAAGAAUUCCUGAAGAAAGGAAAAUGUCACCAAAAGCAAAAUAAAAAAUUACUGUAUUUUUACAGGUAAACAAUAUUGUAAGGAAAAAAAUCAAUAAAUAGAAAAGAAUCAACCAGCAUCUAUUUUUGUUUUCAUCUAAGAUAAAUAUGAAGAAAAUUGAAUUUAUUGAACUAAAUAAAGAGCUUUCAACUGUAUUAUUUUAUUUGAAAUUUUUAUUAUUAAAGCUGUAUUUUUUCUGGGAUAGUGUGUUAUAUACAGUUAAGAAGAUUCUAGUUUCCCUAGACAGAACUAUAAGAUCUUGGAGGACAGGUGCAUAUUUUCUUUCUUCUCUUUUAUCAUUUGAGUCACUUUUAUGGAAUAAGGCCACUGUCAAUCUGUUUCUUUCCAUUCACUCUGAAUUGCUGGCACAAGCAUGAAGCUUCUCUGUAAUACUCCCAAAUUUUAAACUGGUAUAAAAAACUCCCUGCACAGAAACAUCUGGUAUAAACACUUGUGGGGCAGAUUGGAGAUUGUCUGGGACACCUCCCUGUCUUAUCUGCCUCCUGUAUCUAUCACUUGUUUUCUGGAUCACUUUGUGGGUUCCUUGGAGAUCUCCAAUCACUGAGGUCUUGUACCAACGGCUCCCUUGAUGAGUGCAAAAACCUAGCUACUGGAUAGUUUCUUAUGAAACAUAUCCUCAUUGUCCGUAUCUUUCUGUUGUGGUCUCUCCUCUUCCUUUUAGACAAGCGUCUGAUAAUGGGUCUAAGACAACCCCUGCAGACUCCUUGUUGUAAGAGCCUACAUCUGGAGCAGAGAAAACAUUCAGCUUUAGUUUAAUCUCAGUGAGAGUGCAGUUACCCUCUACCUGUAUCCUCUGCUGUGCUGCCUCAAGCUGCUUCAGUCAAACUUUGCUGUUUUGAUUUCUUAAAUGUAAAUCAGACACCUGUAAGUCUCUAUGUCCCCCAGGCUGUAAGGGGAACUUACCAAGUUGUACUUGUAUUGUUCUUAAUGUCCUUCUCAUUUGACUUGUAAGUGGGAAAGCAAUCCAUUUCCAUUCGUGAGGACCCAUAUUACCUUGGCAGUCUUUCCAACUCUCUACUUUCUAACUGAAUUAUUAACAUUCUCUUAUAUAAACACUGACCUUUCCAAAGCUGAUUUUUAGUAACUUCCUUUGUAAUUAGUACUUGAUUGUAUUGUGGCUCUCUCUCUCAAUGAAGGGAAGAAGGUGUACAGUCAUCCCUUGGUAUCAGCAGGGGCAUUUGCUCCAGGAACCUUCCCCUCCACCAGAGAUACCAAAAUCUUUAGAUGCUCAGGUCCAUGAUAUAAAAUGGCACUGUAUUGGUAUGUAACCUACACACAUCCUCCCAUACACUUAAAUCAUCUCUUGAUUACUUAUAAUACCUAAUGCAAAGAAAAUCCAAUAUAAACAGUUGUUAUACUAUAUUUUUAUUUCU
rnacentral:lncRNA from 1 species